rnacentral:rRNA from 1 species
UACGGAGGGAGCUAGCGUUGUUCGGAAUUACUGGGCGUAAAGCGCACGUAGGCGGCUUUGUAAGUUAGAGGUGAAAGCCCGGGGCUCAACCCCGGAAUUGCCUUUAAGACUGCAUCGCUUGAAUCCAGGAGAGGUGAGUGGAAUUCCGAGUGUAGAGGUGAAAUUCGUAGAUAUUCGGAAGAACACCAGUGGCGAAGGCGGGCUCACUGGA